CUAAAUCAACCCAGAUAUUACUAGUCACCCGAGUGACAAACGACGUGAUUGUGUAUUUGGACCCCACUGUUCUGGUUCUUAAUGCAAGUUUUGAUACAUGCUUAUGCCAAGGGAUUGGGUGAGGUGUGUCAAGCUUAGAUAGGCGCAACAAGAGGGAUUUGAGUGUUUUUACAUUAGAGAACAGGGAAAGUAGUAUUCAUCACCCCAGGAGAGUACUAAGUGAUCUUGCAACAAGAGGGAUCUGAGUGAGGUUAUUUAGGAAAUCCAUUUCAAUCAUUCUGCAUAUUAGAAUUGUUGUUUGGUUG
rnacentral:lncRNA from 1 species